rnacentral:rRNA from 1 species
CCUGCGGGGGAAAGAUUUAUCGCUAUUAGAUGAGCCUACGUUAGAUUAGCUAGUUGGUAAGGUAAUGGCUUACCAAGGCUGUGAUCUAUAGCUGGUCUGAGAGGACGAUCAGCCACACUGGAACUGAGAUACGGUCCAGACUCCUACGGGAGGCAGCAGUGGGGAAUAUUGGACAAUGGGCGAAAGCCUGAUCCAGCUAUGCCGCGUGAGUGAAGAAGGCCUUCGGGUUGUAAAACUCUUUCAAUAGGGAAGAUAAUGACGGUACCUAUAGAAGAAGUCCCGGCAAACUCCGUGCCAGCAGCCGCGGUAAUACGGAGGGGGCAAGCGUUGUUCGGAAUUAUUGGGCGUAAAGGGCACGUAGGUGGACUGGUAAGUUAAAAGUGAAAUACCAAAGCUCAACUUUGGAGCUGCUUUUAAUACUGCCAGACUAGAGGUCGAAAGAGGAUAGCGGAAUUCCUAGUGUAGAGGUGAAAUUCGUAGACAUUAGGAGGAACACCAGUGGCGAAGGCGGCUAUCUGG